rnacentral:rRNA from 1 species
AACGAACGCUGGCGGCAUGCCUAACACAUGCAAGUCGAACGAGAUCUUCGGGUAUAGUGGCGCACGGGUGCGUAACGCGUGGGAAUCUGCCCUUUGGUUCGGAAUAACAGUUGGAAACGACUGCUAAUACCGGAUGAUGACGAAAGUCAAAAGAUUUAUAGCCAGAGGAUGAGCCCGCGUAGGAUUAGCUAGUGGGUGUGGUAAAGGCGCACCAAGGCGACGAUCAGUAGCUGGUCUGAGAGGAUGAUCAGCCACAUUGGGACUGAGACACGGCCCAAACUCCUACGGGAGGCAGCAGUGGGGAAUAUUGGACAAUGGGCGCAAGCCUGAUCCAGCCAUGCCGCGUGAGUGAUGAAGGCCUUAGGGUUGUAAAGCUCUUUUGUCCGGGAAGAUAAUGACUGUACCGGAAGAAUAAGCCCCGGCUAACUUCGUGCCAGCCGCCGCGGUAA